GAUGAAACUCUUGCAAGUCAGGUUCUUGGAACAUUCUUAUCUAAGGAUUGCAUGUGCUGAGGAUGAGAAAGCAGAUCUGCCCAGUGGGCUUUGGAAGGCGCUGGCUGAGGGGAGGGGAGAUGACCUGGUAGACUGGAAGCCAGAGGACCUUCUGCAUUCUUUAUCUGCUUCUUUUGGAACUGUCAGAACUUAGCAGGACCCAGGGGCCCCCAGCUUAUUUUUGGGAAGUGCUUCAAGUCCUCUGCCAGUGUGCACAGGCAAGAGAAGAGCUUACUGUCCAGUGAAAGCUGCAAGCUUCCCCAGAGGGAGCCCAAGAGGACUGCAGCACAGUGGUUAAGAAGGACCACCUGUCAGGUCUGAGGCCAAGGUUCCUGCACUCUAGCAGAGGACUUCCUCCCCAGCCCUUCAGCCACCAAGAAACACGGACUUCUCCAACUCCCUUGAGCAGUGAAGCACCUUCACUGCCCUCUACCUCAGCAGAGACAGGGGGCCUCAAGCCUGUCCCCAGCCUUAGCACACUCUGUGUAUCCCCAGCACCCAGCCCAUGGCUCAGCCCACAGUGGACACUCAACGAGCUGCUGCUGAAUGAAUGAAGGCAUCUAUCGUCUCCUUCCUGCUUUGCCCAACAAUAAGGUUUCCCAGGAUAACUCGAAAGGCAAUUCCCCUUUUCAUCUGCUAAGCCAUCUGAGGAAGUACAGAAUCUACUGGACACUCAAGAGGAGAGGCAGUCUAGCUAUCACUCAUCACAUCAGCAGCCCCAGCACUAAUGGAGCUAUAAGCCCUGCAAGGACUUGCCUGUCUGUCUCGCCAAGGCUCAGCACGAUGCCUGUCAUGUGGCAGGUGUUGAAAACUAGUCUAUGAAGGAAUAAAGGAAGGAAGGAAGGAACAGUCCCUGAGAACCAGACUGUCUCCUCUAGCUUUUCAGGCACUAGGGGCUCAAUGGUCAGACACCUUUAUGCUCUUCAAACACAAUGCUUCCCUGCACAGACUGUCUUCUGUCCCAUAAAGAGCAGAAGCAAAUGGAAAUCUGCUCAAAUAGGUCAUCCUUGGCAUUCUUCUAGAACAGGCGGAUGGGCAAACAACAGCGUAUGAAAUGGAGUUGUACUGAGCCAUGCUCACCCAUUCACAAAUUGUCUUUGGCUGAACUAAACACACUGUAAGGGCAGAGUUGAGUGGUUGCAACAGAGAACGUUCUAGUCCCUGCAGCCUGCAAGAUUUACUGUCUUCCUCUUUUUGAAAACUGUAUUGAGCCUGGCUGUAGAUCUUCAAAGCAAUUGAGGGUCAGAAGAGAACUCGGAAACAAAGUGUAAACACAGUAGCACUGGGGUGGGAGCAGGCCCCCAGAGGCAGACUGCCAGAAGAGAGUGAAGGUUCGAGCUGGGACAGUGAAGGGGAGACUGUCAGAAGAGGGAGUCAGUAGUUGGAGCCUCAGGAAGGAGCCCCUCAAAACGCCACGUGUGGUGAGGAGUGUGUGGGUUGGCGGCAAGAUGGACCGGGGCUGAAUCAGCUUUCGUGGUUUGCCGACUGCAUGAUCUCGAGCACGUUUUCUUGCCACCCUGAGCUCUGGCUUCUUCGACUCUAUGAGAUGCCACCUACAUCACAAGUUUUCUGUGAACUUUUGAUGAAAUCAGCCACAGAAUCACGUGCCUCUCUGAGAGCUGAUGCAGUACAGUGCUUUAGAGCCUGGGCUCUCAAGGUUCCAGCUGAGGUCCAGCUUCCAACUCUGCCUCUACCUCUUGGAGCCUCUGGGUCCUGGGAAGUGCCCAGCCCCUAUGUGCCCAUUUCCUCAUGUCACAUGUGAGGAGGGUAUCCAUCCCCAGCCAAGAGCUACGAUAAGUAUUAAAUUUCAAAAGCAGGAAAAGUGUCCAGCACAGCACCUGGCACCCAAGGGGGGUUCCCGUUGCUCUUACUAGUGAAUUGGCCAGCAUAUCUCAACCCAUGGCAGGUGCUCAGUAACUGAUUUCUUCCAUCCUCCAUCCUUCCUUCUCUAUGUGGUCUGAAGAGUGGUGUGACAGAGACCCAAUCUGCCCUGCUGCCAACUUGCUGUGUGGCUUUGUGCAGCUGACACAAAGGCUGUAGAUGACUAAAAUGUUGCUUAUACAAUGAAGGGGUUAGUCUAGAUUCAGGGUUCCCAAACCCUGAAGGGAAAAAACUCUGAGGUGCUAAGAAUCUCUCAGGAACCUGGCAAAACAUCCAGCUUCUUGAGAAGACUCUUAGAGAUUUCUUUUUGGUUCUGGAGACCUGGAAUGGGGCUGAGGCUGGAAUUUGUCUUUUAAAUGGGUGCUUGGGCGAUUCUUGACAUUAAGGUGGGUGGGAAACACUUGGCUCACGAGCUCGAAGUUCCUUUAGAGCUGUAAAGUCCCACAAUCCACAUCACGUGUGUGUGUGUGUGUGUGUGUGUGUGUGUGUGUUUGUGUUGAGAGGGGGAGAAGUUGUGUCUCCAGACUGCUGUAACCAUCAACUGGGCACUCGAUUUCAAAAAGAUCUGAGGCUGUUGGCUUGACAUCACAUGAUCACCUCAUGUCCUGGCAGCCACUUUGCAGGUGUGAGCUGUUUGUCUCUUUCUCCUGACUCAGGUUUGCUUAUCUCCAGAAAACUCUGCACCUUCCAAAAGGGCAGUGCCCCAGGGUCUGCAGCUGGAGUGUCCCAGGCAGCCAUUCUCGUAGGUGGCACUUUGACAAGUUUCUAGAAAACUCACCAUGUUCCCAGCCCCAGUUAGCAUGGGUAGGGACUCCAGCAGGCCAUGUGUGAGAAAGUCAGCAACCAGAAUGUGGAGCCCAG
ensembl:lincRNA